CAAAUUGAAAGACAUUAGAUAUAACAUGAACUAUAUAAAGGUCUUUAAGUGAUCAAGAGAGGAUUCAUCACCCUAGGUAAAUUAGAGAAAA